rnacentral:rRNA from 1 species
GUGCCAGCAGCCGCGGUAAUACGGAGGGUGCAAGCGUUGCUCGGAAUUAUUGGGCGUAAAGGGUAGGUAGGUGGUCUCAUUUGUCUGGGGUGAAAGCCUUGAGCUUAACUCAAGAAGUGCCCCAGAAACGGUGAGACUGGAGUCCUGGAGAGGGUCGUGGAAUUCCCGGUGUAGCGGUGAAAUGCGUAGAGAUCGGGAGGAACACCAGAGGCGAAAGCGGCGACCUGGACAGGUACUGACACUCAACUACGAAAGCGUGGGGAGCAAACAGGAUUAGAUACCCUGGUAGUCC